rnacentral:rRNA from 1 species
GACGGAGGAGGCUAGCGUUGUUCGGAAUUACUGGGCGUAAAGCGUACGCAGGCGGUUGAUCAAGUCAGGUGUGAAAGCCCGGGGCUCAACCUCGGAAUUGCGCCUGAGACUGGUCGGCUAGAGUUCGGAAGAGGAGAGUGGAAUUCCCAGUGUAGAGGUGAAAUUCGUAGAUAUUGGGAAGAACACCAGUGGCGAAGGCGACUCUCUGGUCCGAUACUGACGCUCAAGUACGAAAGCGUGGGGAGCAAACAGGAUUAGAUACCCUGGUAGUCCACGCCGUAAACGAUGUGUGCUAGAUGUCGGGAAGCUUGCUUCUCGGUGUCGCAGCUAACGCGAUAAGCACACCGCCUGGGGAGUACGGCCGCAAGGUUA